AUACCAUGGUGUGGACAUUCUCUCUAUAAGUCUUUAUAUCUCUUCCAUGCAUCAUAGAGUGAUUCACCUUCCUUUUGCUUAAAGAUGUUGAGUUCAACCCUCAAUUU